rnacentral:tRNA from 1 species
GAGGGUAUAGCUCAGUGGUAGAGCACAGGGUUAGCGUGUACGAGGUCCUGGGUUCAAUCCCCAGUGCCUCCA